GUGCCAGCAGCCGCGGUAAUACGGGGGGUGCAAGCGUUGUUCGGAUUUAUUGGGCGUAAAGCGCGUGUAGGCGGUUUUUUAAGUCUGAUGUGAAAGCCCUGGGCUCAACCCGGGAAGUGCAUUGGAUACUGGAAGACUUGAAUACGGGAGAGGGCAGUGGAAUUCCUAGUGUAGGAGUGAAAUCCGUAGAUAUUAGGAGGAACACCGGUGGCGAAGGCGGCUGCCUGGACCGAUAUUGACGCUGAGACGCGAAAGCGUGGGUAGCAAACAGGAUUAGAAACCCGUGUAGUCC
rnacentral:rRNA from 1 species